UACAGAGGGUGCGAGCGUUAUUCGGAAUUACUGGGCGUAAAGCGCACGUAGGUGGCGACGUAUGUCGGGUGUGAAAGCCCCGGGCUCAACCUGGGAAUUGCAUCCGAAACUGCGUUGCUGGAGUACGGAAGAGGAAGGUGGAAUUCCCGGUGUAGCAGUGAAAUGCGUAGAUAUCGGGAGGAACACCAGUGGCGAAGGCGGCCUUCUGGACCAGUACUGACGCUCAUGCACGAAAGCGUGGGGAGCAAACAGG
rnacentral:rRNA from 1 species